GAUGAACGCUGGCGGCGUGCCUAAUACAUGCAAGUCGAGCGAACAGACGAGGAGCUUGCUCCUCUGACGUUAGCGGCGGACGGGUGAGUAACACGUGGAUAACCUACCUAUAAGACUGGGAUAACUUCGGGAAACCGGAGCUAAUACCGGAUAAUAUAUUGAACCGCAUGGUUCAAUAGUGAAAGACGGUUUUGCUGUCACUUAUAGAUGGAUCCGCGCCGCAUUAGCUAGUUGGUAAGGUAACGGCUUACCAAGGCAACGAUGCGUAGCCGACCUGAGAGGGUGAUCGGCCACACUGGAACUGAGACACGGUCCAGACUCCUACGGGAGGCAGCAGUAGGGAAUCUUCCGCAAUGGGCGAAAGCCUGACGGAGCAACGCCGCGUGAGUGAUGAAGGUCCUCGGAUCGUAAAACUCUGUUAUUAGGGAAGAACAAAUGUGUAAGUAACUAAGCACGUCUUGACGGUACCUAAUCAGAAAGCCACGGCUAACUACGUG
rnacentral:rRNA from 1 species